UACGUAGGGGCCAAGCGUUGUCCGGAUUUAUUGGGCGUAAAGAGCUCGUAGGCGGUUCGUCACGUCGGCUGUGAAAUCCCGAGGCUCAACCUCGGGUCUGCAGUCGAUACGGGCGGACUGGAGUACUGCAGGGGAGACUGGAAUUCCUGGUGUAGCGGUGAAAUGCGCAGAUAUCAGGAGGAACACCGGUGGCGAAGGCGGGUCUCUGGGCAGUAACUGACGCUGAGGAGCGAAAGCGUGGGGAGCGAACAGG
rnacentral:rRNA from 1 species